rnacentral:lncRNA from 1 species
CUUGCCUAGUGGACUCUAUUCACAUAUAUAUUCAUCAAGGUAGGAGUGCAAAGCAAAACUAUCAGUGUUAAAUUUGAUGUGAAGAAUUUUGAUUGGAAAGAAUUUUGUGCUGUGGCAAGUGCAAGUCGAGAAUCUGUUGAUACAACACUAAUCGAAGUGUUGCCUCGAAAAAUAUCUAUUUGUAGUACAUACACCCUUGCUCUGGAAUUAGUCAAGUGAUGUACAAUUAGUAAAAAAAUUUACGCGUGUUUGUGGUUUUGGUUUUGUUAAGCCACAAUCAUUAUGGAAGGCUUGUGUUUUUUUCAUUAUUUUUUGAUAUUGAUCUCUGGUUUAUGCAUUACUAACGUUAAAUCUUUUAUUAUCUUGGAGGCAUCUUGUUUCAGCGUUCUAUGCUGUAGAUCCUAAUGGGGGUCAGAAAAUUGUUGCAGAACCAUAGUGAUGUCCUGCCAGCCAUAUCUGCUGGAGAUCAGCUCAGAUACAUAUGGAGGAUCUCCAUAUAGUAUCUAUUUCCCCUGUUAGUCCACUCAAGAUUGAUGAACAGAAGGCACAUGGAGGGCCUAUUGUGGGUAGCAAUUGUUUGUUUAAAUCAGUUAACACUAGUAGCUUUCCAAGAUCUCAUUUUCUACGGCAAUCUUGCAAAAGUGGCUUUACAAACAAAACAAACAAGUGGAGAUUGCGUUCUAAUUCUUCAUCUCAAAAUCCAUUCAACAGUGGUGCAUCAGAUGGGUCUGCUGAGGUAUGCAAGGGAGAUAAAGCUGCUGAAAGAAAUUCAAAUAAGAAAACUAGAAAGAGGGGAAAGAGGGGAAAGCGGAAUAAAAAUCUCCUGGGCAGUAAAGGCUUAACUGAGUAUGGAUAUGUAUGUGGAAAAUUGACGUCAGUCAGUGAAAAUACGCAUAGUUUUGGUCCGCCUGUAUAUAAAACUGAAUUGGCAGUUUCUCCACCAGAACCUUGUUGUAAUAGUAACAGUCAUCAGCCCAAAAAUAUUGAAAUAAUAAAUGGUCCAGCAAAAACAAAGGCAUUGACAUCCUAUGAAAAUCUGGUGGAGACAUCAAAAGCUUCAAACCUGUCUUCAUCUCAAAAUUUUAGUCAUGAAUCUCAUGCCUCUCAUUGCAAUGGACUCAAAAUUUUCAGUGGAGGGAGACAAUGUAUGCAUAAUAAAUCAAUCAGCUCCUUAGAUCAUCCUUGUUAUGCCAAGAUGAAUGACUCCCUUGUUUUGGAUUUCUUGUCACUUGGUUUAGAGAGUGAAGAAAGUUGUCCUGAAAAUUAUUUCAGGCUCUGCGAUGAAAAGAAUGAUGAUGCUGACAUUACAGAAUUGCCUCAUUACAUUAUCAGGAAACAGAUUUCUCCUGAAGAUAUGCUAAUUGGUAAUACUGAACAUUGUGAUGAUGCAGAGAACAUAGACAUAAUUAGGAAGGACUCUAAUUGUGAAAGAAAUUUGCAUAAUCCAGGAAUGAGAGAGAAGCAUUUAAGAAAAGUUCCAAAGAACUUUAAUAUCUUCAGAAGAUGCAGUUUCAGAAAUUUAAAACAGCAUUCUGGGAAAGAAAGCAGUAAUUCUGUAUGGCAGAAGGUUCAGAGAAAUGAAGGUGAAUGCAGACCUAAGUUUGAAAAGGUAGACUCAGUGUGUUCAGAAUUUUUUGAUGAGACAGAAGAGGGUCCUGUAUAUAAAAAGGAUAGUAAUGUUGCUGAAUGUUACAUGCUCUUGAAACCUGAAAAUAAAAAUCAGACACAGCUCAAGACUUCUGGAAAGCUGAAAAGAAAAAUGAGCCCAGGUUCAAAGAAAGAGUACAUCUCUCACUGUUGGAAAUCAUCCCAUGCUGUAAAGAUUUCUUCAAAUUUUUAUUCAAAGACUAAUAUGCGACAGAAUGAAUUCUUGGAAUCUGCUCAAAUAAGCCAGAGAAAAGGUAAUGGUGUUUCCAAUGCACAUUCGAGUAACUGGUGUCCUAGGAUUGGACAUCGUCCUGCGAAAGUUGAUAUCGGUACAUUUAAACAUAUUCACCAUACUGAAAUGUCGUCAACUAAUUUGGAGGCAUGUGACCGAGUCUAUAUUGCUGUUUCUGAUUUGACAGAUCAACCUGCAGAAAAUCAAGUGAACUUGCUAUUCAAUUCAUGUGUCCCCCUUGGCCCGUCAGAGUUGCACAAGCAACUUUCUGGACUAAGCCUUCAUAUUCAUGUGGAUGAUGAAAAUGACAAGAGAGAGAAAGAAGUCCCUCUUGCAGUUGGUGGCAGCCAGGAUGACGACUCUGCAGCUGUUUUAGAGGAAAGGAAAUCUAUUGGGGUUGGAGAUGCUGACGUUCAAGGUGUAAGUUGCAAUAGUUUGUCUAUUGGAGAGCUUCGUGAGUUAGCUGAUAAAAGCUUGAGUCCUGAAGUCAUUGCAGAAGAGAGAUUGGCUUCUAAUCCUUACCCUCUGGUUUUUUCAGAAAAUAUUGGAGUAACAUACAAUGAUCAGAGUUCUAACAACAUUAAUGAUUUACCUUUUGGAGAUGAACAUCAGGUUCAGAAGUCAAUGUAUAAAAGCACAUGCUUGCCUGCAGAGCGCAGUGGCAAUCAUGCUGGUGCAACAUGCUGGAUUCCUGAAAUCAGAAGCCAAAUUGUUUUUGAUUCUGAAAAUCAAUCAAACGACAUUGUUUCGUUAGUGAAUGGUGUCAUUGGUCACAACUAGCCUCUGAGGCUAUUGAGAUGGCUGCUGGUUGUCCGAUUCUGAAUUUGAAAGAUUUCUUCACUCGGCCUCUCCUAUUCUAUGUCCAUCUCAUGAUGUCUUCAGUGGUCAGACUUGCAAGGCCAAGCAGGUUGCUGGUAUAUCUGUGCAUAGGGAUGAGCCACUUAAUCUCUCUUUGGGGAGCUUGUGGCAGUGGUAUGAGAAGCCUGGUUGCUAUGGUCUGGAAGUAAUAGCUGAAGAUUGUGAAAAUUCAAAGAAAUUAGGAAUAGAUCAUUUUGAAUUUCAUGCCUAUUUUGUCCCAUCUUUAUCUGCUGUGCAGCUUUUCAGAAGAUGCAUGCCUUGUCCUACAGGAAAGAGCGACGUGAUGACUGAAACUGUGACAGGCAAGCCACAAGAGAUGAAUGAAACUGUAAGAUUUGCUGGUGCCACGCUUAUUCCAAUAUAUUCCAUACUUGUACCUCAACAUCACACUGAAAACAAACCCAUUUUGCCACCACAAAAUCAUGUCUCUGACUCUCAGCCACCUUCAUCGUGCAAAAAGGAAAAUGAGAUUAAUCGACCUGUCGGAUCAAAUUUUGCUGAUGAUAUAGAGCUUCUUUUUGAAUAUUUUGAAUGUGAACAACCUCAACAAAGACGUCCACUGUUCGAAAUGUAUGUAUAAUACCAUUCUUAGUAUGUAUGGUUGUGCAUAUUAUUUUUUAUGUUUGACAUGGGAGAUCCUGGCCCAUUUUUCUGAUCAUAUUUCCUUUGAUUUUGAUCAUUCUGUUCUGAAAAUUUUCAUCAUAAUUCUGUCAUAUAUGUCUAUUUUGACUUACACUUCUACUAUACACACUCAAACCUGAAUUAUAUGACCCUUCUGGAAUGGGUCGUAGCCCUCGUACCAUUGUGUGAUUCGCAUCAAACGAAUCCUCUUUUAGGUUGGGUAGAGUCCACAAGGUAGAUUUUGUUUUACAUGAUAUCGGUCUUCUUAGAAAAUUCCAUGGUGCUGCCUCUCCUUGUGAGCUCAUUUCUGCACCACAGCGACCUCCUCUAGGCCAGCUGCCACCAUGCCAUCCCCUUUUUUCACAAUGGAGAGAAGUAUCAAACUACAAAAUAUGUGAUAAUUGGCAUGGCAGAAGGCUUGGAUGCAUUUGAUGCCAGUGGCAUGAAAAAGAUCAGUGGUGGUCAAUGAAGUAGGAUUGAUGUGCCUCCUCCUUCACCUACCUCUGUCAACCUUUCUCUUUGGAGUAACUGUAUUGACAUUUAAAUCAGUAGUUGUGCUUGCUAAAGCAAUAAGUGAAAGUGGUGAUUCUUCCCCAACUUCUCAAAGUAGAUGUAAGAGGCAAGAAUAGUUGUGUGAUCCACGUGUUGCAAUGAGUUGACUUGCAGUCAGUAUAUUUUUUUAUUGAAGUGUGUAGAAAGACAAGGUUGAGAUAAACAAAUAUAGGUUUGACAGUAGGCACACAAUGGUGGGGGAAGGGUUGAAGUUUCCUUCAUGUGUUUGAAAACUUUGUGGGAUAUGGAUGGAGUUCAAGCAUAAGCCUCGGGAUUGUAAUGUAAUCUAAAAAUCAAUCCAUUAACUAAAUAUAAAUUUAUUUUUACCUUACCUCUUCUUUAUAUUUGUCAUUUAAUCUUACGGCAGACUUUAUAUUGUACUGACAUACGUUUUUUUAUUUGUAUCUAAAUGACCAAAAUCUACACAAAUACUUUGAUAUGGCUGGCAUUCACUGAUUUCACUAGUAGAGAACUGCAUAAGCACAGAGUUGCAUUUCCUUGACAGAGCUAUUUAAUUAAAUGCCUUGUAUAUACGUGUUAUGUUUGCAUUUGUAUAUCAGAAAAUGAGGCAGGAUGAACAGUUCACGAGCAUUUUUGAAGUCUUUGGAAAUCUGUGUGGCUUAAACAGAUAAAUACUUCUACAUAAUUCAUUGAUCUAAGGUCAACAUACAUAAAACUGGUUUCACAAACAAUCUGUGGAUUUAAAUUAUUUUCUGAUUCUUGUGUUUCAGGAUAAAGGAGCUUGUUAGAGGUGAAGGACAUUCAAAAUGCAGAGCACGUGGAGAUCCCACUGUUCUAGAGCAGGUGGGUCUACAGGAUCUUCACCAAAGUUCAUGGUCAGUAAAUGUAGAGACUAAUCCAGAAUAAUAAGUUAUGCAACCUUGUAAAGUUAGUUUGAUAUGAACAUGUAUUGUUGUUGAGCAUUGACAGUCUAUUUUCAGGUAUUCAGUUGCAUGGUAUCCCAUUUAUAGAAUACCUGAUGGCUCUCUUCGUGCAGCUUUCUUGACUUACCAUUCACUUGGCCAUUUGGUACGCAAAGACCCCAUACAUGAUUCGUCGGUGGAUACUUGUAUAGUUUCUCUGGUUGUGGGCCUCCAGAGCUACAAUGCUCAGGUAGAUAUAUUCUGCUACAAAUUCUUCUUCAAGUUCCCAAAGACCUGUGUCAUGCAUCCUCUGCUAGAGGAGCUCUUAACUGCUCUGUGUUAUUGCUUAGGAUCUAUUCCGCGUGUCUUUAUACAACUAGUACUGUAAAAUGCAAGUGUUGAGCCCUGAUUUUCCAUAGGGCAGUGAGGAUUAAUCAACUGAAAAUGUAAUGUUAGUUUGGAGGUCUCCUUGAACUUCCAUAAAAUCUAUUUAAUGUGGAAAAUAAAUAUUACUUCAAAAUUUAAGAGAGACCGCAUGAGUUCUAUAAUAUUAUUGCUGAAUGAUUAAACAAAAUGAGUAUUGUCAUUAUGCAACUAACAACUAUACAAUUAGAUGGAUGAAAUAAUAUUUGAGAUAACUCUAGGUUGUUGUGACCCCAGAAAGAUUAAGGCAACAAAUAACCUAAUUCUAGAUUGCCUCUGCAAAAAGAUUGUGGCCAACAAGAAACCCAAUUCUAGCAGUUAGCUUCACUAGAAGAUCAAGACAUUCUUGCCCAUGAAUGGCAUUGACAGAAUUUUACUUUGGUGGAAUACGAUCAAAACCAAAAAGAAUAUCAUGAAUGAUGCAAAAGUAUAGUUAUUUUUUCAAUAAUUACAUCCAUCUAUCCUGUGACUGCAUCAAAUUGUAAUGUUAAAUGACCACAAACGAAUGUAACAUUAAUUUGUUUAUGAUAAUCUGUUGCAAAUUUGAACAAUUAUGGCAAAAGAGGAAAAUUAAUUGUCCAAAUUUAUUGGGAUUAAGACUUAGUUUUUCUGUGUGUGGCAAAAACAAGAAAGAUGUAGCCUCUCUUCCUCUCGAUUAGUUAGAAACUUCCUGGAAUUGGAGUCUUUUAUUGCAUGGGAGAAACACUCUUUUACUGCAAUUACAGCAUUGCUGCAUUUUUACUGCACUUGACCAUUCUCUUUUACGUUCAAAAUGAACACUGAACCUGGUUUAUUAAUAUGUACCUAAUAAAGGCACACUUCUAUAAGUAUUGAACUUGAUAAUUUUCUCUGUUCUAUCUAUGGAACUGAAGUACUAUCCAUGAACUUCAUCAUUAAUCUUUGAAUAUAUUUUGCUUCCAAUCCAGUCUCUCUUGUAAUUGUAUAUCAAUGGCAAAUGAGCAGGGUGAAUGCUGGUUCCGGCCUAGACUCCCUGAAAAAAUUCUGACAGCCAACACUCCGGGAAUUUUGAAAGAGCGAUUGAGGACUCUCGAGCAGACGGCAUCUCAUAUGGCUCGUGCUGUCAUUAUGAGAGGAAGUCAGGCAUUUGUAAACAGACAGCCUGAUUACGAGUUCUUUCUGUCUAGGAGAAUCUAGUAAUUUCGUGUAUGUACUUAUUUUUUAUUUCUCAUGUAGAACUAGCUAGUGCUAAGGCUUAUUUAGUGUUGUAUAACAAUUGGUAAACUGAGGUUUUAUCCCUGCAGCAUACUUCCGUGUUUGCAGAUAAGCUUUGUAGAUUAUUUCAAAGUCAAUAUGCACUUAUAUUGCGAGUUUUGAAGGAUGCAAUGUGAGGAGGAAAUCGUGUGAGC